rnacentral:rRNA from 1 species
GAUUAUGGCUCAGGACGAACGCUGGCGGCGUGCUUCAUACAUGCAAGUCGAACGAGAAGUCACCUUCGGGUGAUGGAAAGUGGCGGACGGGUGAGUAAUGUGUAGAGAAUCUGCCCUUUAGUGGGGGACAACAGUUGGAAACGACUGCUAAUACCCCAUAUGCGCGUAGCUGAGAUGCUAUUCGUGAAAACUCCGGUGCUAAAGGAUGAGUCUGCAUCUGAUUAGCUAGUUGGCGGUGUAAUGGACCACCAAGGCGACGAUCAGUAGCUGGUUUGAGAGGAUGAUCAGCCACAAUGGGACUGAGACACGGCCCAUACUCCUACGGGAGGCAGCAGUAGGGAAUUUUGCGCAAUGGGGGAAACCCUGACGCCAGCAACGCCGCGUGAUUGAAUAAGCCCUUCGGGGUGUAAAGAUCUGUCAGUAGGGACGAAACUUGACGGUACCUACAGAGGAAGCAUCGGCUAACUCCGUGCCAGCCGCCGC